UCCACCCCGGCGCGCCGCCAGCACGGGAUCCACCCUUCCUCCCGCCGCACACCACUCCUUCCGCGGCGGCCACCUCAUUCCCUCCUCUCCCCUUCACCGUCCUCCAUACUUGCGGUGGCUGCUACGGCUACUUUGCAACAGAGCAGCGGCCGGUGGUGUCGUGGUUGGGGAUCGGUGUCGGGCUGCUCAGCUAUGGACUCGCUGCUGCCAAAUGUAUGAACUUCCCUCUUGGUUAUCGAUUUGCUGGCAACGACAUCGAGCUCCCGACUAUGGCGACGCUAUCUGUCGACUUGAAGGUACUGCACUCAGUUCGUCACAAGGUACUGUACUCUGUUCGUCAGAACAGUAUUUCCUCUUUUCUUUAUAAUCCUACUAGCAAAAGGGUCGGUGCGUUGCAACGGGAGAAACAAAUUCACGACGCUAGUGAGCCAUACGUGUUGCCACUUGCCCUCUUCGUCACCGUCGAUUAGCGAGCCACAUAUUCACGGAGACAAAUUUCAUGGACUUCAGAUGAUGGUGAACGCCACCCCUAUCUCAUCUACACUUAGUAUAUGCACUGUCGAAAGAGUUCAUGCGUGGCAAUGGAGACAAAUUAAAUAAAAUGUGCUUAGAAAUAUGAAAAAAUGGUGAUAUUCCUUGUAUAGUUAUUACUCCCUCCGUUUCAAAAUAGAUGACCCAACUUUAGUAUAUUUUGAAACGGAGGGAGUAAUCACGUAGCAAAAGAGCCCAUAUCUUCAUCUUUCGCUGUAAUUCUAUCUCACUCUCACAGUAUUUCCUCUAACAGCAAGCAAUUAACCGAAGUGGCAGCAUGGAGCAUCAAACUGCUAGUACCUCUGCUCAAAAACCUUUACAACAUAAGCAUUUUAUGUAUGAUACAACAUAAGCAUUUUAUGUAUGAUGCAACAGGAGAAAAGAGCCCAAUUAUCUUUUGCUGUCCAGAACAAUGUGAUUAUUUAAAAUUACGAUAAAAUCAUCAAGAUCCUGAAUCAAUCAAGUAAUGUGGCGAGCACCUCUGGCCAAGUUACAGCUCCAACAUCUGACAUCCAAACUGGCUGAGCAUGACUGCCAUGUACAUCCCUUAAGUCACCAUAUUCAUAGCCAAUUUCUAUGGGUAUUCGCGUUGUAGAACCCAACCUUGCUAACCGUCUUUACUCCUCAAGCAGUUCUUGAAUUCUCAUGGCGUGUGAUACUCAUCAGGCCUAAAAAAAUUAAGCAUGAGAUCAAGGAUUCAGAGUAUAGAUCAAAGAUAACUCUUCUUCCAUGCGGCUGUAACACUAACAACACAUAACAUGUGGAAUUUGGAAGGAAAUUGUUGGAAAAGCACAGCCAUAUACCGGCAGGGAAUGGCUGAGCGAACAUGUAACUUGUUCGGUCGUCGUGCUACGUUCAGCUGUGCCACACACAAUUGAUCACUAAGCAGUAGAUGGACAUAAGACCAUCCGUUCAUAUAGGUGCUUUUGCAAUAGAGAUUCCAUAAACCGUAAACCACAUAGUUACUGCAUUGCAAAUAUGGCCGACCAAAGUAGAGAUAGAUUCUGAAAUUAUCUAGCCGCUGCAUUGCACCCACGGCUGGCUCAUCUUAUUAAUCCUUGCUACUAUCUGAAUUCGCAUGUCCUAACAGCACAAUGUAAUGUAUGGUUGCUCAGGGCUGCAUGUAUGGCUGUUUCUGAUUCCUGAGCGGGGAUAUGUCGUCAGUUUAAUACCUUCCAUGUCGGCGCAGUGGUCGUCGUCGUGGCAGCCAUCAAGCAGGUCGCUGCAGGGCUCUCCACCCUCCCGGUCACUAUAUACCACACAGUAGAAGUUUCCCACUGCUGCCACCAUCCAUGGAUGUUCAGAUGAGAAACAAAUAAUGACACAAUACAUGGAUGCGAGACAGAGGGUUGAAGGGCACACACUAUAGUAAUUGAGGGCACAUGAUUGGUUCACGGAGGCGGCGAGCCCGAGAGACGCGGCCGUGGAGGCACUGGCGAGGAGGAUGGUCUACGGCCUCGAGGCGCUCCUUGCGGGCGCCAUAUGGGAGGGCUCCCUGUCAUCGUGUGCCAAGCCGCCCACGGCGCGUGGUCCCGGGCGUUGUGCAAGGGGACGACCAUCAUGUUGUGCUCCAUCCCCACGAGCGGCAAGCAAGAGCUGGGCGAGGCGGCAGAGAUGCUAUGCGAGCGGCUUGUAGGGUUAUUGCGUGGAGAAUUUAGACGCCGCCUGUUUGGAUGAAAAUACAUCAAUCAAUCUCUUGUUCGCUCUGAGUCGUAGAAGAAUCAGUUUUUUCUACGUCGACUAAUCAGCUUUGGUGAGAGGCCUACGUGUGCGUGAGUGGGCUGGACAAUCUCAUAAAAACCUUUUUUUUCCUACAAAGCGUUUUUUUAAAUCUCAACCGUUAAACUUUAUAGUUAACACAAAAUCAACGGAUAUAAAGAAGUGACGUAUAGAAAACUAUGAAAGCUUCCGUCCUUUAAUAUUAGGUAAAGAUAUACAAUAUAUUCUUACGAAAAGGGCCAUAUCAACCUUACACAGCCUACUGCUACAUCCUCUCUGUAGUCCAUUGCUUCCACCGGCCCAUCAUGUGUAUCUUCCCUGGUCACGAUGGACAGCGAACAGCCAGCUGACUAAUUGAUGUCGGACGCUCCCUCUCCUAAUAAUGUUCUAGCCGCUUCACUUCCUCUCCCCGCCAUCUCCACAAGAAACUGAUGGAUUGCUCUUUAAAAUCCCAUCGGGUCUCUACCACACCACUCAUGCUGCCUCCGGUACUACAUGCUCACCCACCCUUUUAAGCUGUGGAUGCCCACGACUCAAUUGGUACUAAAAGUCUGCUUGAGGGCCGUCAGUUUUGUCCUCCGAUAAUCAUCGACCUUCAUGGUGGGACGAAUUUGGAGUCUCCGCCCAUUGUUUGCUGGUGAUGCGCGUGUUGGCAGGAACACACCUGCAGCCCCGGUGUCACCUCCCCUCUCCUAACAGGUACCCCCACAGCCACUUCCUCGUGCGUCCCAUCCAGUUUUUAUGAGUCCGGCUCUUAAAUCCAGAGAUUUAGAGUUGUGACUAGAAGUGCAUCAGCUAACUGUGUUGCAAAAUCAUGUCUUGACCGAUGCAAAGCUAAAAUUAUAGGUUGGUGUCUGAGAUGCUGAAGAUUGGUAUGAUAUGGAUGUCAUACUAUAUUUUCCCUAUAGGUUUAUAUGUCAUAUUUCGAUUCUUUUUCUUCUCUGUCUAUGAAUUUCAAGUCCCGCUACACUUUUUUCAUGUGGUUGGUGGCCGGUAAAUCUUCGUCUAUAAACUAAAGAUGGACAGAAAUUCAGUAAUGUUCAAUUUGCUGCAGCAAAUGGUAAGGUAAGAGUGCAUUUUAUUUAGCUUCACUUGAUAAUUACUUCAUAAUACUGCAAAUAUGUUGGUACCGUCAAUCAUAAUUUUCACUAAUGCCAUUUGUUAUCUCCCAGAUCCACGCACCUUGACAUCUAGGUAACAAAAGAGCAGGUCUAGGAAUAGAGAAUACUAAGCAAUGUUUUUUUCUUUCUGAGCAAGCACUAUCAGUACUCAUGCUGGACUAGACUAUUCCUCCUCCGAUUAGUAUUCUUCUCUCAAUAUUGUAUUUGUUUAUAUUUUUUCCUUUUUAGGAUCAGAUCAGGUAUUUGUCUUGGCAAGCAUUUGUGGAUAUAUUAAUUUGAGCUGCAACACUGCAAACUGAUCGUGUUGUUUAUAUUUUUAUUUGUAGGGUAUUGUGUUACAACUAAGGUUGCCGGCGACCUGAAUGGUAAAUAUCUAAUGUUUCUGCACACAUACAACUACCCAUGUCAUUUUUUAUUUUGUCAAUUCUUGCACUCUCUGCUCUCUUCUACCUGAUAAGCUCAUAAGUGUGACAACAUUACCCUGUGAAAGUUCUUAUCCUCCAUCAUGGUAAAUAUGAACUGGUAACUAGAGAGAUACGCUUUAGCACCUCGCCCAAUUAAUUAUAUUCCCCAUUGUAUCCACCAUAUAUCUUUGCGCAACACUACAAACAACAAGAAAUCAGUAAACAUUUCGGGACAAGUGGAAUACAUCCACUAAGAAAAAUAUAUAUCAAGGGACUAUGAUCCAUGUUUUACUACUAAAUAAAUAUAUUCCAUGUAUUGGCAAUAGUAGUUGGAAAGUCAAAAAGAUGCAAUUACUAUGGUUGUGUUAUUUGGCAACAAUGGACUACAAUUGUACUGAAGGUUUUUCUUACCAUUUCACUUUGUCUAUAGUUUGUUGUAAAUCCUUUCGGAUCUUUGUCUUCUUUUAUUAGCGAGAACGCAGUACUGUCAUGUGCGUUGCCCACAACUUAUUAGCAGUUCUUGCUUUCUGAUAUGAUCUUAAAGAUAAUCUCUUAAUAGUUGUACAAUUUGUUUUCAAAUCCUAAAUCUCUAUAUGUGAUGUCAAACGGUUUGUUGCUGAAAAAAUAUACGAUGUGAUAGUUGCUUG